rnacentral:tRNA from 1 species
GUCCAAGAAACUCAAUUUAGAGUAACAUUUUGAAAAAAUGAAAGCUACAGGUUCAAAUCCUGUCUAGGACA